CCCCCUGCUGCACAGGCCUUGAGGUUCACCACCAUGGCUGGCUGAGUGCCGACGACGGAGUCCUCAAUCAGGUCGCGGAUGGUGGACAGGUCCACUCUCCCGUCGUUCUCCUGGGUCAGAGCAGCACGGUUCUGCGUGCCAUCGGCGUUGCCUCCGCAGGUGCCCUCUGGACUCGGCACCCUCUGUACAAAUGUGAGAUGUGGUUUCGAUUUGCAUGGCCAGGGGCCAGCCUGGCUUCCAGCACACAGAAAAGGCCCAGUGGUGUUUCUCAGCACCUUGAUCGGCUGGCCGGCUGGCCACCUUUAGCACUGUACCAUGGACUCCGGGAGGGAGCGGUGGAAAAUCCCGCAUGUCACCCCAGGGCACAGUCCUCGAGAAGGAAGAGCCUCCGCGUCCCCCCACAAUCAAGCUUAAUAUAACGGCUGAAAGUGCUUUGAAAGUGAUUUUAGUUUCUGCAUCCACACUCUUUGCCAGGGAGAACUGCAUUUAUUUUGAUUAAUGAAAUAAAGGGCUUAAUUGUGA